rnacentral:misc_RNA from 1 species
CAAUUGUAUUUGGGUUAGGCUUUGAGGAGUCUCUCCACUUCCAUCCACCUUUACAGUUGUACUUGAUCUUGUUCUUAGGGAUGGAUGCACCCCUGUGAUGGACAUGCCUUGGGUAGUGAUUACCAAAACCCACAACAUAGCUCAUUUUCCGAGGAUUUUUGCCCAAGAUGUAAUCAAUCUGGGUUUUGGCAAAUUCACGCAAGACCUCAGUCGAAUAGAAAUUUGGUCCACAGUACCAUCCAGGUGUGUCUGCAGCAUCGAGAUAAUCACUAAAUAGGGUGGCAAG